UUAAUCCACAAGUGGAGAUCAUUAUCCUGAGGGGGAUAGCCCCUAUGAAACGGGAGUUAUCUUCCCUCCUGAUUAGGAAGGGAUCAGAGUGAGUGAUCAUCCUGAUACGUCCAGGUCCUUCUAUAAAUAACCUACGAGAGUGAGUGGGUGCUUGGAAAUCAAGAAGAUCUGGUCAAGGAUAUUACUGCUGAGUAGCAAUCAGAGCUGGAAAGAUUUGAAGCAUCAUUGGAAGGAUGUACAUGAUAUUUAGGAGUUAUAUAAUACUUGAAGCAUGCUCUUGCUUUUUUUUCCCCAUCAGUGUUGUGUGCAAGGUUACUGGCAUUGGUGCUCUUUCAAAGUGUCAUAAUUUGAGUUCAGAGACUGGAAUUGUAGCCAUGGAUAAAUCCUAUUUUUGAAUGACAGGAAAGGCUCAAUACAAGUUUGAAUGAAAGAGCUCUGGUCAAUGGAUUUUGUACUCAAUAAGGGGUCAUGGAAUGAUUUUGUGUAUUGACUUUGUAUAGGAUGUCAAAUUGUCUUCAAAUUUGUGCCAAGAAAAUGUAGAAAAGCAAACCCAUUUGACCUUGAUAUCUACAAGCCCAAGAGGUCAUUCGAAAAAAGGCCUUUCACACCUAUUUAUAAGCAAUUUUAAAUUCUACAUUCGAGUAAUAUGCAAGCAUCUAUUUUUAUAUACUCAA